rnacentral:sRNA from 1 species
GGGAGUGGUUUGAUGUGAAGGUUUUUUUUUCCUUCAGGCAUUGAAAAGAAAAAAGAUGAAAUAUAUGUUUAUAUAUAACUCUCUACAUACCUCACUGAAGUCAAAAUGCAUUUAAUUGUGUACGUAUCUUUUAAAUGAGGAACGGUACUGGAUUUUUUUCUUCUUUCUUAAAAAAAGUGACAGAAAUCCUAGUGACUUUGGGGGGGAGAGAUAUGAAUAGAUACGAUGAUUGAGUUUUUUUUCAAAGGAGUCCAUGUUUGAUUCUCUCCUUCACCCAGCAUUCUCAGUGGUUUGUAAUUGUCAGUUUUAUCUCUACUUUUUCCCUUCCUCUCCUGCAGUUGCUUGCUUGUAAAAUCAUCUGACUUGAGAAAUUAAUUUGGUGGUGAAUAGGACAGAUUUUUAGAAGAAAGAGGAGAGGGUCAGAUCUGAAGAUUGUGAAAUUCUUUUCUCCUGUUGCAGCGAACACCUCUUCCUCCAUGACCUUCGACACUGAUAAAAGUGGAAGAAACUGAGGCACGGGGAGAGAAAGGCAGCUGAGAAGAGAGGAAUGAGAAAUGCUCACCCUCCCCUAGUCAACCCCGUGAUGUUACCUGGAUGACAGCACACACUCCUUGGUCUCUUCACUGAAACCUAUGUCACGGAAAGACAUGGCCACACCUGGGGGAGUGACCUGCCGUGAGGAUGUAGGUGGACGUCAUGAAUGACAUACAAGCUGUACUUACCGGCAUGUGGAGCAGGGAAUCUGACACCUGGAUAGCUCCCUCUAGCCUCUGAGGGCACUGAACACGUGACUGAGCCAACACAGGGCUGUUGGAAUUGAACCUUGUCCUCUGGAAGAGCAGCCAGACCUCUUAACUGCUGAGCCAUCUCUCCAGCCCCAUGCCCUGGCUUUCCUGGAGCUCAAG